AUGAAUAUGUUCCCUAUGGUAACUGGGUUCAUGAGUUAUGGUCAACAAACAAUACGUGCUACAAGGUACAUAGGUCAAAGUUUCAUAACUACCUUAUCCCACACAAAUCGUUUACCUAUAACGAUUCACUACCCUUAUGAAAAAUCAAUUACACCAGAGCGUUUACGAGGGCGAAUCCACUUUGAAUUUGAUAAAUGUAUUGCUUGUGAAGUAUGUGUUCGCGUAUGUCCGAUAGAUCUACCCGUUGUGGGUUGGAGAUUUGAAAAGGAUAUUAAAAGAAAACAAUUGCUUAAUUAUAGCACAUUACUUAGCACAACUAGGAAAAUAAGAUAA
rnacentral:rRNA from 1 species